rnacentral:piRNA from 1 species
UGCCAUGCACACACAGCUUCCAGAUACCC